ensembl:miRNA MIR1279 microRNA 1279
AUAUUCACAAAAAUUCAUAUUGCUUCUUUCUAAUGCCAAGAAAGAAGAGUAUAAGAACUUCC